ACCCCUGCUCUCAUCCAUGAUUGCUGCUGGGAGCUAGAACAGAUCUUGAGCACUAUCACAAGCUGUGUCCUGGGAGCUGUCACUUGUCCAUCACAAUAUAGCACCUGGAAGAAAUGAAGAAUGUAAGAAAACGGGUGGAGUGAUUUGUGGAACUUCCUCCAAGAGGCGAGUGGCCAUGGCAGAAGCACCUCCAACUUUCCCUGUUCCAGCCCACCAGCACAUUCAAUCCCUUGGCUGCCAACCGGCUCAUACUUUUCCAUCCUAUUGGUCUACAGUAAACCCUCAGUUAUCCGGGUGCACCGUAUCCAACCUUGCCCGUAUCUGGGAGUUUUAAAAAUAUUUGAUUUUUUUCCAAAAAAUUAAAAUAAAUUGUCGCGCGCUGCCAAAA